UACAGAGGUCUCAAGCGUUGUUCGGAAUUACUGGGCGUAAAGGGCGCGUAGGCGGCCUUCUAAGUCGAACGUGAAAUCCCCGGGCUCAACCCGGGAACUGCAUCCGAUACUGGAAGGCUUGAAUCCGGGAGAGGGAUGCGGAAUUCCAGGUGUAGCGGUGAAAUGCGUAGAUAUCUGGAGGAACACCGGUGGCGAAGGCGGCAUCCUGGACCGGCAUUGACGCUGAGGCGCGAAAGCCAGGGGAGCAAACGGG
rnacentral:rRNA from 1 species